GGGAGGCACGGGCUGUCCCGGCCGGGCACCGGCAGGAUGGAGCUCUCCGAAUCUGCCGCGCCGCAUCUGCCGAGCGAGGGGGAGGGUGAGCACCGGAGCAGGCGGGCGGUCUGGGGAUGUGGGGGCGGGCUGCGGGGACACUUUUCUGAGCCAGUUCCCUCCCCGCAAAAAAAGUGAGUGGAAAGACCUGCAAAUGUGUGCGGGACUGGCCCGUGCGUUCCCCACUCCCUCGGUGGCCGCCUGUCCCGGGAGAGGCUCAUGGGCAGCCGGCGGCGAUCGCAAACCGAGCGGCUGGUUCGUUCAGUGGAGUAAAAGCAUGCAGCCUUCUGCUAACGGAGCGAGCGCCGGUGGUUCCCCAAGCACCCCAGCGGAGUGAACCCUUCAGGGCUGCCCUGGCCAGGGCCCGGGCGUGGCCCCAGCACCGUUUGUCACCUGCAAGGCAGGGCUGCAAGGACGAGACUGUCGCUUCUGCGUGGCAUUUCCGCCUGAAAUGAAUCGCCUCCGUUUGCUUUGUGUGGGCACACAGGCAGCUCAAGAAUGUCAUCCGGCUACAGAAAAGGAGCUUCUCUGCAGUGCAUCAUGGUGAACAUUCAAGGGCAGGCUGGAUGGGGCUCUGAGCAACCUGAUCUAGUUGAAGAUGUCCUGCUCAUGGCAGGGGAGUUGGACUAGAUGACCUCUGAAGGUCCCUUCGAACCUGAACUAUUCUAUGAGGAGCAGAACAGCACCACUCGCUUUGGGGAAGGGCACAUUUAUGUUGUAGUCUGAUAACUACACCUGUCAGGAACAUUUCUUAUGCCUUGGGAUUCUUCCUGUGCCAGGGCUGUUGUAUCCAGCCUCGUAUCUGCCUCUGUUACCAGUGUGGCACCGUGACCUAUAUAGUCAGGCAAGAAAUACCCAACAGCGAUGGCGGAUUUCCCUCUUUCAGUCACACAGCAUGCAGUCUAUACCGCAAUUCUGUCUGCAUGCACCCACUCAGACCCUCGUCUGGCAAAAGAGACGUGCAUGUAUGUAACGAAGAUUAGCCGAGCCAUUCAGCUGCAGGGACUGCUUUUCUGAGUUAAGUCACUAGUGGGCAUGGAGUUUCAUUUUGUCUUGAACAGUUUAUGAUCUGAGACUUUUGUGAUACACUGUGCAGAUAGAAGAUAUAGUGAUGCCAGGAUGGUGGUUUUGUGACUCUGAUGUUUAGUCUGUUUUGAAAUAUCGAGUGGAACUACCAACAUUUUUCAAGUUUUUUUUGAACCAGUAUAAAUGGCUGGUUCUUCUUACGAAUUAAAGGACCAGCAUCAGUUAUUAGUUAUUACACUUGUCUUACAUGAUACGGCAGUGUUUGUGCACCAGCUGGUCUUCCUCGUCACAGUUCCCUGGAAAAGAGAGAUAGCAAUCUUAUUUUCUUAAGAAAGGACUUAUAAUGAAGGCACCACUUAUUCCUUAAAUCAUAGAAUCCUGACCUAUUUGAAUUCUGACAUCCGCUAUUGAAAACAUAGGUGCCUGACUUUUCAUGGCCUACUCAAACCUACUCAGCACAAGUAGGUCACAGUAUGUAGGCUAUAUGUGAGUAGGUCACAUUGACUUACACAGGCGAAGUUGGGCAUGUCUGCUUGUUUUUUUCUCAAUGUGUUGUAAAUUAUUGUUGGGUUGCUCAAGGAAUGCAUUUUAAGGAAAAUGCUGAAUUGGGACACUGUGUGGCUGUGUAAACUUUGAAGGUUUUAGCAUAGAAAAAACUACAAAAAAUACUGAAAAAAUACAUGCAGCUGGCACUGGAUAUAGGUUUGACAGCAGUAGGGAAAAGAGAGAAGCCAUCCCACAGGCACACAACCUGGGAUGCAGUCCGUGCCCCAUUGUGCCAGCUGGAGGCUGCAUUUUCCUGAGGCUUCUUGCUGUAACCCUGCCCCGACAACACUUCUACAAGCUGUUGUGUUGAGCCUUAAGUCCAUAUGUAAAACAAACAAGGCACAUUUUCCAAAUCACCUUAAAAACUGUGUGGGGAACUGGGAGGCCUCUGUGCUGCAAGGUAUGGCAUCAGUCCUAUGUAUAUGGUAAUAAUAUUCACAAAUACAAAGAAAGUCUCAAGAAACUUGUGAUACAAUGUCUUAGAUGAAGAUCUUGAAAGAGUUAAGAGCUGCCCUCCUUGAUUCCAUUAUUUUCUUCUCCUUUUCGCUCUGUGUAUCAGUAUUUCUAUAUGUGUAUGUGUGUGUGUAUAUAUAUGUAGACAUUUGAAGAAAGGGAAUAUAAAAAUCAGAUGGGCUCUGUAUCUUUCAUGGAAUAUACAUGGGGAAUUAUUUAGAUUACAAGGAAUGGGCUAUGUAGCUCUUCAGUUUCCUGUCGGUGGCCUGAAUCUCACAGUAAAAACAUUCUCACUUUCCAAAUCACGUGAACCCCAAGCGCGGAUGCUGCCCACACCAGCAGAAGAGGCGGCACCUGAGCGAGGGCAGCAGUCGCUGUGCUGGCUCAUCACGCGGGACGCGGGACGUGCUCCAGCUCAGGGUGGGACGGAGAAGGAAGGCUCUGCUGCCACCCAGACCAAGGGGGUUUGUUACAUGUGGAUGUGUUGCGUUCUCUAUGACAGAUUUUGGAGCCCUUCCCAACAGCUCAAUUAAAGAACACUUGCUCUAAUUAAUAA